rnacentral:rRNA from 1 species
UACGUAGGGUGCGAGCGUUAAUCGGAAUUACUGGGCGUAAAGCGUGCGCAGGCGGCUUUGCAAGACAGAUGUGAAAUCCCCGGGCUCAACCUGGGAACUGCAUUUGUGACUGCAAGGCUAGAGUACGGCAGAGGGGGAUGGAAUUCCGCGCGUAGCAGUGAAAUGCGUAGAUAUGCGGAGGAACACCAAUGGCGAAGGCAAUCCCCUGGGCCUGUACUGACGCUCAUGCACGAAAGCGUGGGGAGCAAACAGG